AAAAAAAUAUAUAUAUAAAUAAUACAAAACAAUACUGAUCCCUAUCCCUCGCCACAUUCCACCCUGACACCCAUUCCAAUGUAAAGAAGACUGCAGCCAGGCGUGCGGAACUGAAGCGAAGGGCAAAAUUACUAAUAGAGCGAGAGAAGGCAGCAGCCAUAUUGGCAAUUCGAGAGCGAAAGUCGACCCAGUCCUCACCAAAUGCCACCACCAACCAGCACGAGCUGGAAAGGCAGGUACAUUUCCGGCAACAAGCCCACCGCCUUAUUGCUGAGGUGAGGGCCGACCUGGAGAAGCAGAGCGGAUAUAUAUCUGUAGAGAAAGACCUUGACAACAACACAAAGUUCCAACCCUUGAAACUAAAAAGGUUGUCAUUAACCAAACCCAACAUCAACUUGAGCCCCAUCUCGUCGCCUGGGCCCACAGAUACCACAGAAGAUGUGCCCACCCCUACGCCACCUCCACAUGAUGAAGAUGAAAAUUUAGAAAGCCAAAACAGUUUACUCAAAGUACCAGGUUUAUCAGAAGGU